GACGUAGGGCGCGAGCGUUGUCCGGAUUUAUUGGGCGUAAAGAGCUCGUAGGCGGCUUGUCGCGUCGACUGUGAAAACCCGCGGCUCAACUGUGGGCUUGCAGUCGAUACGGGCAGGCUAGAGUUCGGUAGGGGAGACUGGAAUUCCUGGUGUAGCGGUGAAAUGCGCAGAUAUCGGGAAGAACACCCGUGGCGAAGGCGGCUCUCUGGGACGGUACUGACGCUGAGACGCGAAAGCGUGGGGAGCGAACAGG
rnacentral:rRNA from 1 species